GUCCCGCAACGAGCGCAACCCUCAUCCUUAGUUGCCAUCACGUUUGGGUGGGCACUCUAGGGAAACUGCCGGUGCUAAGCCGGAGGAAGGCGGGGAUGACGUCAAGUCCUCAUGGCCCUUAUGGGUAGGGCUUCACACGUCAUACAAUGGUCGGUACAGAGGGUUGCCAAGCCGCGAGGUGGAGCCAAUCCCAGAAAGCCGAUCGUAGUCCGGAU
rnacentral:rRNA from 1 species